rnacentral:rRNA from 1 species
AUGUGGGGUAGGGGAGCGUUCUGUAAGCCGUUGAAGGUGGUCUGUAAGGGCUGCUGGAGGUAUCAGAAGUGCGAAUGCUGACAUGAGUAACGAUAAAGGGAGUGAAAAACUCCCUCGCCGGAAGACCAAGGGUUCCUGUCCAACGUUAAUCGGGGCAGGGUAAGUCGACUCCUAAGGCGAGGCCGAAAGGCGUAGUCGAUGGGAAACGGGUUAAUAUUCCCGUACUUCUUACAAUUGCGAUGGGGGGACGGAGAAGGCUAGGUGGGCCUGGCGACGGUUGUCCAGGUUCAAGUAUGUAGGCGGAAAGUUUAGGUAAAUCCGGACUUUC